rnacentral:rRNA from 1 species
AUUGAACGCUGGCGGCAUGCCUUACACAUGCAAGUCGAACGGUAGAGUAGCAAUACUCGAGAGUGGCGAACGGGUGAGUAAUAUAUCGGAACGUGCCCAGUCGUGGGGGAUAACGUAGAGAAAUUUACGCUAAUACCGCAUACGAUCUAAGGAUGAAAGCGGGGGAUUCGCAAGAACCUCGCGCGAUUGGAGCGGCUGAUAUCAGAUUAGGUUGUUGGUGAGGUAAAAGCUCACCAAGCCGACGAUCUGUAGCUGGUUUGAGAGAACGACCAGCCACACUGGGACUGAGACACGGCCCAGACUCCUACGGGAGGCAGCAGUGGGGAAGUUUUGGGACAAUGGGCGAAG